UUUUUGGUAUAACUAUGUUCCAUGCAACAUUUGGGAUAUAUUUCUGCUAAAA
rnacentral:pre_miRNA from 1 species